AGAGUUUGAUCCUGGCUCAGGACGAACGCUGGCGGCGUGCUUAAUACAUGCAAGUCGAACGCACUUUCGUUAGAUUGAAGAAGCUUGCUUCUGAUUGAUAACAUUUGAGUGAGUGGCGGACGGGUGAGUAACACGUGGGUAACCUGCCCUAAAGUGGGGGAUAACAUUUGGAAACAGAUGCUAAUACCGCAUAAAACCUAGCACCGCAUGGUGCAAGGUUGAAAGAUGGUUUCGGCUAUCACUUUAGGAUGGACCCGCGGUGCAUUAGUUAGUUGGUGAGGUAAAGGCUCACCAAGACCGUGAUGCAUAGCCGACCUGAGAGGGUAAUCGGCCACACUGGGACUGAGACACGGCCCAGACUCCUACGGGAGGCAGCAGUAGGGAAUCUUCCACAAUGGACGAAAGUCUGAUGGAGCAACGCCGCGUGAGUGAAGGAGGUUUUCGGAUCGUAAAACUCUGUUGUUGGAGAAGAACGUAUUUGAUAGUAACUGAUCAGGUAGUGACGGUAUCCAACCAGAAAGCCACGGCUAACUACGUGCCAGCAGCCGCGGUAAUACGUAGGUGGCAAGCGUUGUCCGGAUUUAUUGGGCGUAAAGCGAGCGCAGGCGGUUUCUUAAGUCUGAUGUGAAAGCCUUCGGCUCAACCGAAGAAGUGCAUCGGAAACUGGGAAACUUGAGUGCAGAAGAGGACAGUGGAACUCCAUGUGUAGCGGUGAAAUGCGUAGAUAUAUGGAAGAACACCAGUGGCGAAGGCGGCUGUCUGGUCUGUAACUGACGCUGAGGCUCGAAAGCAUGGGUAGCAAACAGGAUUAGAUACCCUGGUAGUCCAUGCCGUAAACGAUGAGUGCUAGGUGUUGGAGGGUUUCCGCCCUUCAGUGCCGCAGCUAACGCAUUAAGCACUCCGCCUGGGGAGUA
rnacentral:rRNA from 1 species